AUGAGCGACGUUGUGGAGCGCACGCUGGGCGCGCUGCCUGCGCUGCUGGGGCAGCACGAGCCGGGCGCGGGGCCGGGGGGUGCGGGCGGCCCCCACAGGCCGUCGGCUUCCUCUCGGCUCGGGAGCCUUAUCCGGAACGUCACGGCGCUCACCUCCAAGCAUGAGGAAGAAAAAUUAAUCCAGCAGGAAAUAACCAGUUUGAAAGCAAUGGUUUCUGCCCCCACGACCCCGCUUAGACUGAUGAAAGAAUGUAUGGUGAGGCUCAUCUAUUGUGAAAUGCUGGGAUAUGAGUCUUCCUUUGGAUAUAUCCAUGCAAUCAAGCUUGCACAGCAAGGGAAUCUUUUGGAGAAAAGAGUUGGUUACUUGGCAGUUUCUUUAUUUCUCCAUGAAAAUCAUGAACUGCUACUUCUGCUUGUGAACACAGUUGUGAAGGACUUACAGAGCACUAAUCUAGUAGAGGUGAGCAUGGCGUUAACCAUUGUCAGCCAGAUCUUUCCACGGGAGAUGAUUCCAGCUGUUCUUCCCUUGAUAGAAGACAAACUCCAGCAUUCUAAGGAAAUUAUCCGAAGAAAAGCUGUUCAGGCUUUAUACAAAUUCUAUCUCAUUGCUCCUAACCAAGUACAGCAUAUUCAUGAUAAGUUCCGGAAAGCCUUAUGUGACAGAGAUGUUGGAGUCAUGGCUGCUUCGUUGCAUAUUUAUCUCGAAAUGAUUAAGGAAAGCUCGUCUGGGUAUAAAGACUUGACAGAGAGCUUUGUAAUCAUCCUAAAGCAGGUAGUGGGAGGGAAGCUCCCUAUUGACUUCAAUUAUCACAGCGUGCCAGCACCAUGGUUACAAAUUCAGCUUUUAAGAAUACUGGGGCUGUUAGGAAAAGAUGAUCCAAGGACAAGUGAGCUGAUGUAUGAUGUUUUGGAGGAGUCUCUAAGAAGAGCAGAGAUAAAUCAUAAUAUUACCUAUGCCAUCUUGUUUGAGUGUGUCCAAACAAUUUAUACAAUUUACCCCAAAUCUGAGUUACUUGAGAAGGCUGCCAAGUGCAUUGGAAAAUUUGUUUUGUCACCCCAAAUUAAUUUGAAAUACUUAGGUUUAAAGGCUCUGACCUGUGUUAUUCAGCAGGAUCCUAAUCUGGCACUUGAGCACCAAAUGACAAUUAUUGAGUGUCUGGACCAUCCUGAUCCCAUUAUUAAAAGGGAGACUUUAGAAAUUCUUUAUAGAAUUACAAAUGGACAUAAUGUGAUUGUCAUUGUUCAGAAGAUGCUUGACUACUUAAAAGAGACCAAGGAAGAGUAUGCUAUCAUCACCUUAGCUGGCAAAAUAGCAGAACUAGCUGAGAAGUAUGCUCCUAACAACGAGUGGUUCAUCCAAACCAUGAAUGCAGUGUUUUCAGUUGGAGGCGACGUUUUGUAUCCUGAUAUCCCUAACAACUUUCUGAGGCUUUUGGCUGAAGGAUUUGAUGAUGGAAAAGAAGAUAAACAGCUGCGAACAUAUGCAGUGCGGUCCUAUUUAGCAUUACUUGAAGAGGAAAAUGUGUUCUAUCCACAGAAGUUCCUUCAAGUCAUGAGUUGGGUUUUGGGGGAAUAUUCCAGCCUCGCUACAGAUGUUGAUCCAGAAAUUAUUUUGACAAGGCUGCACAACUUACUGAGGAAGACUUUUGUUACCUCUGAAACUAAAGCGUGGAUUAUGGCUGCAGUCACCAAGAUAGCAUCGCGUGCCUCUUUCUCUAAAACAGUUGACAAGUUAAUCCAAGAAUUCAGUAGCUCUCUAGAUACCUGCAUGAGACAACAUACCUUUGAAUUGAAGCAUCUGUGUGAAGACAAAGUAUUGAUGAGGGGCUUGCUUCCGUUUGAUGCUAGUUGUAAUGACAUGGUGGUAGAUGCUUCCUUAUCUUUUCUGGAUGAGUUUGUGGCUGAGGGACUUGGGCGGGGUGCAGCACCAUAUAAGCCCCAUCACCAGAGACAAGAGGAAAAACUUUCUCAGGAAAAAGCUCUGAAUUUUGAGCCUUAUGGAUUGUCCUUUGCUUCAAGCGUGUCCUCGGCUGGUAUGGCUGGCAGACAGUCUCCCACUGGCUUAUCGUUUGGUUCUGAUACGUCUGGUAACAGUGCUGAGAUGGGGCAUAAAGAGACAAAUACUCUGAAACUGGAAGGAGUAAGGAAGCUCUGGGGCAAAGAAGGUUAUCUUCCAAAAAAAGAAAGCAAAGUAGGGAAAGAAGAUGAGCCACAGACUGUGUCGUGUAGCAGCUUAUUAGCAGGACGGGUGGCUGAAUGUCCCGUGUCACAGUCUGAUCAAGUUUCCAGCCUCUCUGAGGAAGAAAAAGAAAAGCAGCAGCUGGCAUCAACACUGUUUGUUGGGCUGGGAUCAAACACUGGUGUCAGCCUGAUGGGGAAAGUGGAUUUAUCUACUCAGAAGUUCAAAAGAAAAUCAAGGAUAGAUGAAACCCAAAGUAAUGAGGAGGCAUUGGAUAUGCAAAAUAGGCCUGCCUCAGAUUUUGGUCCCUUACUUGAUACUGUCCCUGUUACUGAAGAAGAGUGUGAUGGAGAUAAACGCACAACAUUAAGGAAACCUUCCCUUUGUUCUUCAGAUACUGUGGAAGAAACACUUCAGUCUGUAAAAAAGCAUGGGCUGGAUGACAAGCUUUCAGAUAGUAGACUGUCCCCAUUGUCUUUGUUUGCUGAUAGUAAUAUUGAAAUUCUUCAGCCUUCUCCGAGUUCUCAGUGUGAAAAUGCCAAUAAAACUGUGCUGCUCCCUUCCUUAGCAGAAGAACUGGAAGAGCUCCCUCACUCUGAAGUAGCAGAACUUUGUCAGAGUGAUGCCUUAGCCCUGUAUUUAUGUAAGGUGUGGAAAGCUGACUCUUUGCUGCUCGUUGUGUUUGUUUCAAAUAAAAACACGUCUGCACUUAAGGCUGUGAAUGUAGUGUUUGAAAAAGAAGAACAUUUUCAGAUUCUGGAGAGCCCUGCCUGCCAGUUUUCUGUGAUUGAAGCUCAGAGCAUGGGAUGUUGUCAGAGGUGUGUGUGCAUGGACAAAGUCUGUACACAGGGAGUUAUUUCUGGUUUUGUUAAUUACCAGUCAGAAAUGGAAACUCGCCUUGAAUUUUCAAUACCUUUAUCAUUGCUGGAUUUCAUCAGGCCAAUGGAAAUGACUACAGAAGACUUUGGGAAGCUGUGGUUGUCUCUUUCCAAUGAUGUGAAACAGAAUAUUAAAAUUCCAUCCUCUCAGAAUUCCUUCUCAGCAGCUCUGAGUGUACUGCAUCAAAAGCUGAAACUCCACAUUGUUGAUAUUAUAGGUAAUGAGGGAAUACUGGCAUGCCAGCUGCUUCCAUCUGUGCCAUGUCUGCUGCACUGUCGUACUCACUCAGGGAUGCUGGCUUUGUGGUUCAGAUCACCUUGUUCUGCUCUUCCAGAUGGUUUGCUCUAUCAGUGUCAAAAGUCUUUGUGUUUUUUGUAGUUUAAUUAAGAAGUAAUCAGUUUGUUUGGUGCCCUGCAAAUAUCACCGGAAUGCAGCAGUGUGAAGCCUUGUUCAUAGUUGAAGUGGUAUUUUCUGGCCUUAACCUUCACCCCCAGUGCAUGACUGGGCAAAGCAGUGAUGCUGUCCACUUCUGGAGUUAUUAAUGACGGCUACUCUGAUUUAUAAAUAAGAUGACAGGUGUUCAGCUGGCUCGUCUAAAAUAUCAGAAUCUGGAACAUCGGCACUUGCAACACAAAAAUAAAGUCACGUAUACAGGAUAUCCCUUUUGUUUUGGACAUCUUCAGUGUUGAAUAAUCUUUUGCUCUGGCUUAAAAAAAAAAAAAAAAUCCAAACAACCAACCAAACUUACAUAUUUGCUACAGGAGAAACAAACACACAGAUGUGACCUGUGCACUGGAACAGGAGUGCUGGAUAUAAUAACUGUGGUUCAGAAGCAUUGGUUGACAGGUACGUGCUCUGAGAAAGAAAGCAGCUAAUGGUGUGUGUAAAUAUGACUGCAAAUGUUGAAACUUGCAACCUUCUAAGGCAAAUCUUAACAGACUUCCAGUCCCAAAAGUUCAUAUCUCAUUCCCAUGCUGAGUUGUAAAGGAAUAGUCUGUAUUCACUGCUACUGAAUAUACUCUUCAUGGUUGAAGGAAACAUGAUGGAGAAUUACAUCGAUACCAAACUGCUCUAGUAAUGUUCUGUGCUGCCAUUUUCACUUGCUUUGAAAUGCAUUCUUUUGGGAAUGGAUGCUUCUAGCACAACUGCAGAGAAUACACGUAGUUGAGGUAUGUGUAUUCUCAGCUGUAUGUAGGGAAGUACAGCAAUUAUUCUCAGAGUGAGAAAAGGCAGAAGAACAGAAUUUACCUCUGUAUUUAAGAUUUUAAAUGGGAAAACAAUUUUUUUUUUUGUUGUCGUGAAGUAAUAGGUGACAGUGCUUGGAAGUUCUCCUUAGGGAGGGAUGGCUUUCAAAUAUAUGGGAGUGUCUACUGUGUCAUGAGAAUGGAGAAACCCCAUGACACUGAAUGUCUUGGCAGACUGAGGUGAGUCUGAGAGGUAAGAGGCAGGGGGCUAGGAGAGAUUUCUGCACAUGCUUCCUUUACGUAGGGUCAGCCAGCAUCAACCCAGCUGUAAGAUUCUGCAAGCAGCAAGCUGGCUUAUCUGCUCUGGUUCUCUUCCUUAAUGAUAGCAAAACUUGACAGAAACCAGUGUUCCUUUGCAAAACAUCUUUUGUUUCAGGACAGCGGUGCGUUUUGCUUAAAAGCAAAAAAAAAAAACAGAACACUGAACCAAUGGGUUGUUUACAAAGCUCACCAGUUAGUAGUGUUCUCUUCAAAGGGCUGUGGACAUACUGCACUCAGAUGGCACUGUGAGCAAAGCAGGUGGGGUUCUUUUUUUGUCAUUGUUGGCACAAUUUGAUACUAUGGACACAUUAAAAUGAGAGCUUUACUGAGGCUGAAUGUUGUCUGUUGAGGAUAUGAGAUGUUAAUGUUGCUUUGUACAGCAAGUGGUUACUUAAUUGUGUUCCUCUUCAAAAGUGCAAAAUGUUCGCAAGGAAUAUUUUGCUCUGACAAAUUUUGCUCAUUCAGUGUGAAUGCAAAGAGCAGCAGCAUCUCCAGCCUGAAUUCAUCCAACGUUAUCAAAUACGCAACACCUGAGACUGGGAGAAUUCAGGAACUACUUUAUAUGUUUUUUUUCUUGAUUGCCUUUGAGCUUCAAUCACUGAGCUGUUCUUGAAAAUUCAUAUGAAGCUUUUUUUGAGUAUAAGCCAAAAAUUUCUAAUGGAAAUAUUGUUUCAUAGAGCAGCUCUUAAAAUUUUGUGAUUUACUUGUUUGUAUUAUUUAUUAUCCCUAAAUAGACUUAAAUACCAUGUGAAUUCAGAGAUGCAGUCUCACACUGAUUCCUGAUCAUUUUAAAAGGAGCUUAAUGCAUUACAGCCUUACCUUCUAAGCCUUUUCACUUGCUGUUGGAAUAGUAAAAACGCACACACCAAGGGCAGUCUGGGUAAAUUCCAUGCAUUGCUCUUUUGCCAUCACCUAUUUUAACACAGCCAUGCUUUUGAGCUUACUUUCUUUUCACGUGUUCAGCCUUGAGCACAAAGCUAGUAAGAUCAUGAUGUACAGCAAUCUAUUUCUGAACAAUAUAUAUCAGCAGUUUUUUUUCAUGCCACACCUUGGAAAAGACUCAGUUAUCUGUGAACAAAACAUUAAAACUGAUAGCUUUCUGGUUUAGGUUUUUCCCUUCAUCGUGUGCCAAGUGAGCACCUCUGGCUCCUGCUGGAGACUGCAGUAAGAAGAGCAGGAAGGAUGCUCUCAUGCUCACCGUGGCUCAUGAAGGGUGGCCAGUUCUAGGCAGAAGUUUUUUGGCUGGUUUCUUGCUUCUGAGCACAGUUUCAAAGGAUCUUCUCAUCAAGUAGUUUGUUGAUGCCAUCGCAGAUCUUUUUGAGGUAUGGCCGACAAUCCCCAUCCAGGCUGUACAGGGCAGUUAGAAAUUCCACAUCUGCAAAGUGAUUGAAGACGUGGUUGAUGCGCCCGUGGGAUUUCGGUGUCAGGUGCCGAUCUACCAGUUCAUGCACAAGGUCUUUACACUCAUUCAGGAGUUCUGCAAGAACAUUUCUGUCAAAAGUGUAUUCUACCUCAUAGAAACUGACAAUUGUCAUGGCAGUUUGAUUCAGCUUCUUCCUGAACUUGUCUACAAUUUCCAUCUCUUCGUGGUUGAACUGAUUAUUUCGAUAGAGGAUCCCAAUUUUUAUUGCCACUUUAAUCAGGUCUUUCAUAAUUUUAUGGGCUUCCUUUUUGUUUCUGGUGUGUUCCUUUGUUACCUUGUACAGCUCAUCAAAGAUUUCACUGCUUGUGUCAUCGAUGAGCAUGUUAGCCAUGGUUUUGGUUGCCAUUUUACUCAGGAUCUUUUUCUGGGCUUGCAGUGCAAGAUUCUUGGAACUGAAACAAUCGGGACCUGUUUCAGGAUAGCAGAAAAGAGGGGAAAAUGUUAAUUUUACUUGGUGAAUCGUUUUUACCAUCAGGUUUCACUCAGGACAGUGUCAGAGCAUGCAGUUCAUGUGCAGCACGUGGCUCCUGCUGUUGGACUUGAUCCAAUAAAGGGGAGGGGAGGACCAGGAGCACGACCCAGAGGGCUGGAGCACCUCUCCUACAAAGACAGGCUGAGGGAGCUGGGCUCAGUCCAGAGAAGAGAAGGUUCUGAGGAGACCUGAGAGUGGCCCUCCAGUGUUUAAAGGGAGCUCAUGAACAGGAGGGAAACCAACCUUUAACAUGGGUAGGUAGUGGCUUUAAACUGCAGGAGAGGAGAUCUAGAAUAGCUGUUGGAGAAGUUUUUCAUGGUGAGGCUGUGGAUGCCCCAUCCCUACAGCUGUUCAAGGCUGGGCUGGGUGGGGCUGUGGGCAACCUGAUCUAGCGCUGAUCUGGUGUUAGCAACCCUCCCCAUACAGGGGUUGGAACUAGAUGAUAUUUGACAUCCCUUCUAAUCCAAGCCAUCCUAUGAUAACUACUGGUAGUGAUUAAUUUGACCUUCCUCUGCUUUUCACCUUAAAGUUGUUUGUUUUUCAUGUACUUUGUGUGGACAAAAUAAAGGAAAUGGAAAGAUUUCAUCUGAAAUGGGCUCCAGUUUAGAGCUAUGUAGCAGGAUCCCCAUUGGCUCCAAGGGUACUUCGUCACUGAUGAGCAUGUGUGUAGCUUGGGGACCUUGGUGUGAGGUGAGGAACAGAGCACUUGAGCCCUUUGCCAGCUGCUGGGGAACCUAAAUGCUAAGAGAUUUAAAAAAAGUUCCAGUGCUGAUUUGAUUUUGGAGCCUGAGUGGGUUUUGGCUGAGCCCAUUAGGCCUUUUCCAGCCAUUAGCAUAUAAAUAGUGCCUGCAACAGCCUGCUGUAAUUCAGUUGUGCAGCAGGGAUCUGUCAGUGGCUGGGGGUGCAGAUUUCUAUAUCUCUGUACCGUGUUCCACAUGGCCCUCACUCACAACUGUUGUGCUUCACCACAGCCUCUUGGUGCUUUCUUCUUUAUUCCACGAGGCAGCAGUAGAUACAGGAAUUUGAGUCACAGAAUUAUGAGAGUUGGAAGGGACCCGCAGAGACCAUCUAGCUCAACUCCCCUGCAGUGAACAGGGACACCUACAGCUGAUAAAGUCCUUCCAGCCUGAUGUGGGCUGUCUCCAGGGCCGGGCACCCACCACCUCUCUGGGCAACCUGUGCCACCUCCUCACCACUCUUAUUGUAGAAGACUUCUUCCUUAUAUCCAAUGUAAAUCUCCACUCUCUUAGUUUGAAACCAUUCCCCCUUGUCUUAGCCCCUUAUCCUUCUGUUUGAAUUGUUUUCCAAGUUCACUAGAAUGUCACAUUGAAGUUGUCAUCAUUCCUUGUGCACUAUAGCUGUACUAGUGAGCUGUACAAAAGAAUGCCCUUUAAUUUCAGCUGAGCCACCACCUGGAAAACAUGAUUCAAUGCGCUUGAAAGAAUUGCCUGUCAUUGGGAGAGCAAAUUGUGGGCCUGGUCUGCUGACUGGAAGAAAUAGAAAAACGGUGAUUUAAUCUAGAAAUGAUAAAACCAGGAUGAGAGCAUUCUUUCACUUUGCAGUGUGUUGGAAUAUAAAUAGUACCUGUGAUGAAUAAUUAUGUGCAUUUGACAAAGGAAAAUGGAAGAUGAAUAUUAGUGUCUGUUUCUGUAAUAAGCGUUUGCUGUUAAUUAAGUGGAUGCGGGUGCUCAGUAUCUGUUUUCAUCAGAACUUGCAAAUAAUUGGAGGGGAGUUCUGGGAUAUUAAUUUACUUGCAUUAUGACAAUCCCACUGCUGUGUUGUCUCUACUGGCUGCCAGUCCAGUCAUCUGUCCCUGUGCUGACAAGGACAUAAAACUGUUUGAGAGUGGCCAAAGAGCUAGGAGAACAUUUAAGGUCUGAGGGCGUGCUGUGUGAGCAGUGGCCGAGUUCCUGGGUUUGCUCAGCCCGGAGCAGAGGAGCUGA